AACUUUGUCCAAAAGUAAUCCACCGCAAUAGACAGUACGACUUGGCAGCGUCCGAUGGAAAUUCUCGUGGACUGGCACGUUUUGUGUUGGUUUUUUCAUCGAGUAGUCUAUCAAUGGAUAUUAAGUUGGGACCACUUUUGUGCCUUCCUUCUUUCCCCCACUGUUAAAAUUUCCCAAGUCGUGAUAAGCGGUUUUCAAGGAGAGAUUAAACCUUGGAGAUUUUUAAGAACUCGAAUGGAUUCGCAAACAUGAUAUUCGAGUGUCAGAGAUCUGCAACAUCU
rnacentral:snoRNA from 1 species